GUGUAGUGCCAGGGAUGGAAUCCAGGGCCUUCUACAUGCUAGACUGCUUGGUCACACCCCCAGCUGCUCACUGAGGGAUUCUAGGCAGAUGUUCUACCACUAAACCACACCCCA
rnacentral:sRNA from 1 species